UGUGUGWGAGGGUGCAAGCUUUUACACAUGGCGAAACCGCGGACGGCUCAUUAAAUCAGUCGUGGUCCAAAUGGGCUAGUGUUAUCUUACUUGGAUAACUGUGGUAAUUCCAGAGCUAAUACAUGCAACUGUAAGUCCGAUCGGUUUUUGUUGGUUCGUCCUGCAUUGACUGUGACGGCUGCUUUUAUUAGACCAAACCGCUGAGUUAGAGUUGGCUACGUAGCCCUCUCUAUAAGACUCGUGUUAUGGUGACUCUGAAUAACACCUCUUGACAAGCGCACGUAUCCAUUUGUUUGGGACGGCGCUGCCACUUUCGAGUGUCUGCCUUAUCAGCUAUGAAUCGUUCAUUAUGUGCGUACGAUGGCUUUGACGGGUAACGGGGAAUCAGUGUUCGAUUCCGGAGAGGCAGCCUGAGAAACGGCUACCACGUCCAAGGACGGCAGCAGGCACGCAAAUUACCCAAUCCCAGAAUCUGGGGGAGGUAGUGACGGAAUAUAACGAUGCGGGCGCCCCUUCUGGGGCCCCGCAAUCGGAAUGAGCAUUUUCUUUCUAAACACCCUGUUGAGAACCUACUGAAGGGCAAGUCUGGUGCCAGCAGCCGCGGUAAUUCCAGCUUCAGCAGCAUCUAUUAAAGUUGCUGCGGUUAAAAGGCUCGCAGUUGAAUGUCAGUAUAAAGUGUAGCGAUGGUGGACGUUGGAGUGCGUUGUUGUUUGGGGGGUUUGUGCGGUGUGCGCUUGCGUUAAUUUCUCUUCCUGCGAUGUCUAUGCUUUACGGUGUGGGCCUCUCGUGGGGUUUGAGGGUUCGCGUGGGUGUAUGUUCAAUCUCUCUUUCUCGGACACUUCGCGUCUAUAGCUCCCGUCCGUAAACAGCCUCCUCACUGUCGUACAAUGAGUGGAAAUGGUUAUGUUGGAAAGUGGAUACCAAAUGCUGUGUCGAGGGUAUGGUUCCCCGUGUUUCGGCACGGUGUGUCUUUUCACUCUCGCGCACAUUUUCUGUGAUUAAGGCAUGUUUUCAAAGUCACCUUGAGUAAAUCAGAGUGCUCAGCGCAGUCGUAAGGAAUGUGUUGCGUUCGCGCGUAACACGUUCUGUGAUGAAUGUCUAAGACAGACAGACUUGGUUUUGCAUGGGAUGUCGAAAGACGCCGUAUUUCCUGUUGGUUACGAGUCUAAUGCGGACUUGCAGUGUUUCUCAUGUGUUCUCUCUCGUAGGGUUCGCUUGUGACGCCUGUGAUAUAUGAGACCAACAGGUGCGGAAUGAUUAAAAGGAACGGUCGAAGGUAUUGGUAUUGCGAGGCGAGAGGUGAAAUUCUAUGACCCCCGCAAGACCACCUAAAGCGAAAGCGUCUGCCAAGGACGUUUUCAUUAAUCAKAGGCGUGGAGCCUGCGGCUUAAUUUGACUCAACACGGGCCAUCUCACCAGGCCAGCACUCUUGUACGAUUGACAGAUUGAAAGUUCUUUCUCGAUUCAGUGGAUGGUGGUGCAUGGCCGUUCUUAGUUGGUGGAGUGAUCUGUCUGGUUAAUUCCGAUAACGAACGAGACUCUCCCCUGCUAACUAGUCGGUUGGAUUUUGCGUCUGGAGAGUUGUGUGCAUAUGCGUGGACGGUUCUCUUUCUCUUGCGCGCGCGAGGUGUGGUGGCUUUCGGGUUAUCAUGUCGAGCGUGUGUUUGGGUGGGUUUCGCUCUAUGUGUGUGUCUCGCACUCCAAGUCCGCCGCUUACUUACACAAGUUGAGUGUAACAGCAAAGCUAUAUGAGUAAAACUCUUCUUAGAGGGAUUCACGGUUCUGAAGCCGUAAGAAACUGAGAGCAAUAACAGGUCUGUGAUGCCCUUAGAUGUUCUGGGCCGCACGCGCGCUACAAUGCCGGGCUCAGCAGGUGUAUGUCCUUCUCCGAGAGGAGUGGGUAACCCUCUGAAAGCCCUUUAAACAAUUUAUCAAAGGGUUCGCGUAUGUGCUUACGCACACUCGUGUUCUCUUCCUUGGCUUGCUUGGGCCUGGGGCUUGCAAUUCUUUCCCACAAACGAGGAAUGCCUAGUAGCGGCGGAUCACUGAGUUCGCUGUGACUCAGUCCCUGCCCUUUGUACACACCGCCCGUCGCUACUACCGAUUGGGUGUACCAGUGAGAUCCUUGGACUGGCGAGCCUUGUACCCUCUAGCAAUAGAGUGCAAGUGUGUACGACGGGAAGAGGCUCGAACUGGUGCACU
rnacentral:rRNA from 1 species